GUAACAAGGUCUCCGUAGGUGAACCUGCGGAGGGAUCAUUACUGAGUGAGGGCCUCUGGCUCGACCUCCAACCCUUUGCGAUCGAAACCUCGUUGCCUCGGGGGUGACCCGGCCGUCAAACGUCGGGGCCCCCGGUGGACAAUUCUAAACUCUUGCGUCUUUGCGUCUGAGUCUAAAGUAAAUUAAUCAAAACUUUUAACAACGGAUCUCUUGGUUCUGGCAUCGAUGAAGAACGCAGCGAAAUGCGAUAAGUAAUGUGAAUUGCAGAAUUCAGUGAAUCAUCGAAUCUUUGAACGCACAUUGCGCCCUCUGGUAUUCCGGGGGGCAUGCCUGUUCGAGCGUCAUUACACCACUCAAGCCUGGCUUGGUAUUGGGCCCCGGGGGUGACCCGGACCCGAAUGUUCGCCGGCUGGACGACCUAGAUCUCAUCGUUGUGGCAAACAAAUUCGCUGGCGAGACGGGACGGCCACGCCGUUAAAACCAUCAUUCAAGGUUGACCUCGGAUCAGGUAGGGAUACCCGCUGAACUUAAGCAUAUCAAUAAGCGGAGGAAAAGAAACCAACAGGGAUUGCCCUAGUAACGGCGAGUGAAGCGGCAACAGCUCAAAUUUGAAAUCUGGCGCAAGCCCGAGUUGUAAUUUGUAGAGGAUGCUUCUAGGCAGCGGCCGGUCUAAGUUUCUUGGAACAGGACGUCAUAGAGGGUGAGAAUCCCGUAUGCGACCGGCUGGCACCUUAUGCGUAGCUCCUUCGACGAGUCGAGUUGUUUGGGAAUGCAGCUCUAAAUGGGAGGUAAAUUUCUUCUAAAGCUAAAUACCGGCCAGAGACCGAUAGCGCACAAGUAGAGUGAUCGAAAGAUGAAAAGCACUUUGGAAAGAGAGUUAAAAAGCACGUGAAAUUGUUAAAAGGGAAGCGCUUGCAACCAGACUUGUUAGCGGUGUUCCGCCGGUCUUCUGACCGGUCUACUCGCCGUCGACAGGCCAGCAUCGUCUGGGGCCGCCGGAUAAAGGCUUGGGGAAUGUAGCUCCCUCGGGAGUGUUAUAGCCUCUUGCACAAUACGGUGCGCCCCGGGCGAGGUCCGCGCUUCGGCUAGGAUGCUGGCGUAAUGGUCGUAAGCGGCC
rnacentral:rRNA from 1 species